ensembl:lncRNA
ACGACUCUCAAGGACUUCAUAGACUUUAACAUGAGCAUCCCAGAGCUGAAUGGGAUUAAACGACUGGGGAGGAAUAAAUUAAAUGUCUCUGUGCAAUACCUGCUUUGCAUUCAGAGCUACUGUCUGUCUUUCAUUUCUGACAAAUUAGUCUUUCCCAGACUUGUUAGUGUUUUGUCAUUUGAGAAAAAAAAAAAAAAAGAGGACCACAAAAAAAAACAUGUAAAUCCCUUUUCUUGACAGUGGAUAAAAAUAACCUUUCAUAAUCAGUCACUGAGAUGCACAGUGGUCACCUUAGUGUGCUGCCAUUUGGGAUACUGCUAUACAAACCCCUGACUGAGAGCACCACCUGCUCUAUAAGCCUUUUUCCUUUACGCUUCUCCUGUGACUUUGGCUCUAAUCACCAACCCCCACUGAACACAGGAAAAGGAGAUGACAGUCACAUGUUUCAAGGCUCUGACUCGGCACAUUCAUAUGAAAGGAGACACAGUGGAGUCAGCUGGAACUCUAUCUGUACAACCGGAUGGGAUGAUAGUUCUAGUGGCCAUUGCAGAAAGGAGAAGACACUGAAGAUAUCAAUUAUUCUGCACUACAGACAGAAGCAGGGCAAUCAAUAG